rnacentral:lncRNA from 1 species
GCUGACGCUGCAGGACCCCGGGGCAGCUCCUCCCCGAGUCCCUGAGCAACUACCCAGAGAGAGUGCAGUACAUUGCAGUACAGUAAUCAACAGACACAUACACUGCAUACAAUGACCGACUUGAGCCGAUAUGGACCAACACACAUUAUCCCUAGCUAUAGCUUUGACAGCGGGGCCUUCCUGCGGAGGACCUACGGCUGCUGGUUUAUCGGAACAGUCACCCUUCAAAUCAAUCACCGCAACAGGUGCUUGUCAACACCACUUUCCGUCAGCUGGCGCCCUAGGGAGCCGUGCGAUGCCUGCCUUGUCACCUGAUGCCUG